rnacentral:rRNA from 1 species
CAAAGGUUAAUUCCGGUGGCGGAUGGGCAUGCGUCGCAUUAGUUAGUUGGCGGUGUAACGGACCACCAAGACGACGAUGCGUAGGGGUUCUGAGAGGAAGGUCCCCCACACUGGUACUGAGACACGGACCAGACUCCUACGGGAGGCAGCAGUGAGGAAUAUUGGUCAAUGGGCGGGAGCCUGAACCAGCCAAGUCGCGUGAGGGAUGACGGCCCUAUGGGUUGUAAACCUCUUUUGCCGGGGAGCAAAGUGCCGCACGUGUGCGGUUUGGAGAGUACCCGGAGAAAAAGCAUCGGCUAACUCCGUGCCAGCAGCCGCGGUAAUACGGAGGAUGCGAGCGUUAUCCGGAUUUAUUGGGUUUAAAGGGUGCGUAGGCGGACGCUUAAGUCAGCGGUAAAAUUGCGGGGCUCAACCUCGUCGAGCCGUUGAAACUGGGUGCCUUGAGUGGGCGAGAAGUACGCGGAAUGCGUGGUGUAGCGGUGAAAUGCAUAGAUAUCACGCAGAACCCCGAUUGCGAAGGCAGCGUACCGGCGCCCAACUGACGCUGAAGCACGAAGGCGUGGGUAUCGAACAGGAUUAGAUACCCUGGUAGUCCACGCAGUAAACGAUGAAUGCUAGUUGUCCGGGGCGAUUGAGUUCUGG